rnacentral:rRNA from 1 species
UACGUAGGUGGCAAGCGUUGUCCGGAUUUACUGGGCGUAAAGAGCGCGCAGGCGGUCGUUCAAGCCGCGUGUGAAAGCCCCCGGCUCAACUGGGGAGGGUCACGCGAUACUGAUCGACUCGAAGGCAGGAGAGGGUAGUGGAAUUCCCGGUGUAGUGGUGAAAUGCGUAGAUAUCGGGAGGAACGCCAGUGGCGAAGGCGGUUGCCUGGGGCUUUGCUGACGCUGAUGCGCGAAAGCGUGGGGAGCGAUCCGG